rnacentral:rRNA from 1 species
UACAGAGGGUGCGAGCGUUAAUCGGAUUUACUGGGCGUAAAGGGCGCGUAGGUGGUAAAGCAAGUAAGAUGUGAAAUCCCUGGGCUUAACCUAGGAAGUGCAUCUUAAACUGCUUAACUAGAGUAUGGUAGAGGGUAGUGGAAUUUCCGGUGUAGCGGUGAAAUGCGUAGAGAUCGGAAGGAACGCCAGUGGUGAAGACGACUACCUGGACCAAUACUGACACUGAGGCGACGAAAGCGUGGGGAUCAAACAGG